GGGCGGUUAGUUCAGUUGGUUAGAACGCCUGUUUUACACACAGGAGGUUCAUAGGUUCGAGCCCUAUACCGCCCACCA
rnacentral:tRNA from 1 species